GGAAUGCCCUACUAUUGGACCGGAUAAUUGCUACAAAGCCGCAUGAAAAUUUAGCUACUUUCCAUGAUUUGAUUACAACUGCUACAAUCAAACAAAGUAGAGUACAAAUCUUGAGUAGUUAAUUACGAACUUCAGAAGAGACAAGAGGAGCUACACUUCUAUGGCACCAACCCAUCUCAUCAGAUGGAGUUGACAUAUCCUCAUUAAGCUAAACACAAUGGGCAACUUGGCAUUAGGAAAAUCGAAUGCCAAUUCUCCUUUUCUCCCGGCCUUGAGUGGACUAUCAACAACUUGCAGACGUGAAAUCGGCUGGCGUAGCUGGCUGGCUGGCUACUGUGUUCACAUGAUCUAUGACAAGGUGUUGGCAAGACUCAAAGGAAAGCCCCAUGGAGGAUUGACACUUUCAUUUUCUAUAUUUUGUGUGGGUUCCAUUCUGUAACAUGUUGUGACGCAAUGCUCACGGUAGCGUCUCUGACAUUAGCUUACUUGAGGAUCACUAGUAGAAAAAGAGGAUUCAGUCCUGGUUGAUAAGACCUUUUAGUCUCGGUUGCAAAAA